GUUGGGUUUUGUUUUUUGUUUGGGGUUUUUUUUUUUGUUUUGUUUUGUUUUUGUUUUUAGCUUAAUUUUUGGAAUUUGAAGAGAACAACAACAACCUUGGUAUUAAAAUUAAACUGAAGACUGAAGGAUAUAUAAAUUCUAGGUAUUUAUGUUUCCAAAAGGACACAAGUUGACAUGCAUUAAUUUUUUAAAAUAUUUUUUUUAGAUGUCGAUGGAAUUUUAUUUUUAUUUAUUUAUUCAUAUGUGGUACUGAGAAUCGAACCCAGUGCCUCACACAUGCUAGGCAAGCACUCCACCACUGAGCCACAAUCCCAGCCCACAUUAAUUUUUAUUUUUAAAGAAUACAUACAAAACUGUUAAGUGAUUAUUGCUGAGGAACUAGAUGUGUCUGUGUCAGUCAUUCUGUUUGAAUGUCUGUCAGGGGAUGGAAAAACUAGGAGGAACACUUAUACCUGUUAGAUUUUUACCUUUCUGUAAAUUUGGAUUUUUUCUUUUUUAAACCAGGAAUAUUACUUUUGUUUGUUUAAUAGCAGUAGGGUAUAUGUGGACAGUGAGGUGAGACUGGAGAGGAAUCUACUUGGGCUUUCUCAAAAAUAAGUUCCAUUAGUUUGAAAAAAAAUAAAAGAAUUAACACAACUAAGUGAGGACUCCUAUUGUUUAAUGUGAUUGGCAGUAAUGGAAUUCUUUUAAUGUGAGUGACAGAGGUAAAAUUAGUUUUUUAGUUAAUAGCUACUUGAAGUAUUUUAUCAAGCUUUAAUUGUAUGGAACUUGAGGAAAUUCAUUUUUCUGAACAGAAAUUUUUUUCCAAAUCAUUAGAUUUCAUUCUUUUAAGCAACAAAAUGUCUUAUUAAAAAUCUUUCCAGGGCUGGGGUUGUGGCUCAGUGGUAGAGUGCUCACCUAGAAUGCAUGAGGCACCACAUAAAAAUAAAAUAAAGAUAUUGUAUUCAAGGUGCUGGGAUAGUAGCCCAGUGGUAGAGCACUUACUUGCCUAGCAUGUGUGAGGCAUUGGGUUUGAUUUUCAGCACUGCAUAUAAAUAAAUAAUAAAAUAAAGGCCCGUUGGGGGAAAAAAAUUAUAUCCACUUAAAACUAAAAAAUAAAUAUUUUUUAAAAAAUAUUUUUCGGGCCUGGGGAUGUGGUUCAAGUGGUAGCGCGCUCGCCUGGCAUGUGCAGGCACUAGGUUCGACCCUCAGCACCACAUAAAAAUAAAAUAGAGAUGUUGUGUCCACUGAAAACUAAAAAUAUAAAUAAAUAUUAAAAAAUUCUCUCUCUCUUUAAAAAAAAUAUUUUUCAAAACUUGUUACAUUUUUAAUGGCAUGUAGAAAAUAAACAUUUCUUAAUAACCCCACAAUUAUUAUCAUAAAUUCAAGUUGUAUUUUAUUGUUUUUUCCCAAACUGUCUGGCCCUAAUAAUGAUUUGGUUUGUUUUGUGUCUCUGUUCCAUACACUUCUUAUUUGUUGUCAGUUUUCAGUCGUAACAGUUUAACAAAAAUGAAUUUAACUGAAUCAGGUUUUGCCCCUUCUGAUCUGCUUUAAGAUUAGAAUUCAGGCUGGGCAGGUGACGCACACCUGUAAUCGCUGAGGCAGGAGGAUCACAAGUUCAAGACCAGCCUGGGCAACUUAGCAAGACACUUUCCCCCCAGCUUUUUUUUUUUUUUUUUUUAAUUUUAAGGGAUGGGGGUAUAGUUUGGUGGUAGAGCACCCCUAGGGUUCAAUCCCCAGUACCACAAAAAGAAGAAAAAAAUAUAAUUCGGAUUGGAAUGUUUCUAGGACUUGUGUUUAUGGUUGUCAAUCUAGUAUAGGACUGCAGUGUGUGCUCACUGUGGUAUCUGUUGGAUGCUGGGAAACUUUCUGGAUUGUUUCUUGGUUCUUAGCGAUGUUUUAAGUUGUUGGCCUAGAGAAUUCCAAAGGCAGCAGUAUAUAUGAAAGUUAGAUUCAUAAAACAAAGAUUGUUUGCUUUACAGAAAGAAUAUAGUAAUUGUUCAGAUUGAAGCUACCCUUGUACAUCAAGUAUGUGACAUGAUUAUAAGAAGUUAUAAAUGUGUAAUUCAUAAAGCAUCUGUGAAGUAAGUUUGGUUGUUUUUCAAACCCUUUUAGUACCAUUUUUAUCCACUAGGUGGAAACAACUACAGAAUGGACUACAUUAAAGACCUUGUAUUACAGUUUUUAUACUGAUUUAUGCAGGACUAGAAUGAAAGUAUUUUACCAUGAAUUGGUUUCUGUCUAGGAAAGAAAUUAAUAUUUAUACAUAUUUGUAAAAUAGAAAGAUAUUUUAAGCAGGAUUAUUAUUUUAUUCCUUUGUGUACUAUUAGUAGCCUCUCUUGCCUAAUAAAUGUUUGAACUCAGGAGAGGGCAAGGAAGAAUUUUCUUGCUGUUGUUAAUUAGGUUUAGUUUUAGGAAACUAAAACUAAUCAUAAAUGAACCUGUACUUCCAAAAAUUGUAUUUUAAUUUUCCUCCUAGAUACUUUAUAAAUAAUCUUAGUGGUUAAAAAAAAAAAAAAAAAAAAAAAACAUUAAAUUAAAAAUAGAAUAAGGUACACUGGGCCCUGGUAAGUUUUAUUAACAAAUAAUAAAAUAAUGCUUUGCUGUCUCUGGUGGUUUUAAAAU
rnacentral:lncRNA from 1 species